GGGAGCUUAGCUCAGCUGGGAGAGCAUCUGCCUUACAAGCAGAGGGUCAUAGGUUCGAGCCCUAUAGCUCCCACCA
rnacentral:tRNA from 1 species